GAUGAAGAACGUAGCGAAAUGCGAUAAGUAAUGUGAAUUGCAGAAUUCAGUGAAUCAUCGAAUCUUUGAACGCACAUUGCGCCCGCCAGUAUUCUGGCGGGCAUGCCUGUCUGAGCGUCAUUUCAACCCUCAUGCCCCUAGGGCGUGGUGUUGGGGAUCGGCCAAAGCCCGCGAGGGACGGCCGGCCCCUAAAUCUAGUGGCGGACCCGUCGUGGCCUCCUCUGCGAAGUAGUGAUAUUCCGCAUCGGAGAGCGACGAGCCCCUGCCGUUAAACCCCCAACUUUCCAAGGUUGACCUCAGAUCAGGUAGGAAUACCCGCUGAACUUAAGCAUAUCAAUAAGCGGAGAA
rnacentral:misc_RNA from 1 species